CAUGCAUCGCGAUUUCCCUGUGCAACACAGGGUUUCCAGGGACCUCACUCAGAUGUGUAGAUUCAGUCUAUAUAGCAUACAAAACCAAACAUUGUUCAAAACCAUGCACUUAGUCAAAUUGCUAUUGCUAGUGGAUCCACUAUGAAAAUAUCACAGUUUCCAUCUGCUGCCGGCACAUCAGUAGAUCAUCAACACGACUCACAACUGGUGCAACGAAGAGCACAUUCAACUAGAGGGGGUGUCAAUGUAAGCAACAGAAGAAGAAGAAUACCAGCAAACAGCAUUGGACACUUAAAGGAUCAAAUUGAAGCACUUUCUAGACAGGAGCUUCAAGGUUUAUGUGUCAGAAUAGCUGAAAGGAAACCAGCUCUUAUCAGUGAACUUCUGCGGGCCAGUUCAAAUGCCUGUAGCCAACAAUCUACAAGACCGUCAAGCCACAGUGUUCCUGAAUGGUGUGUUUGCACCAACUGUCGAGUAAUGCCUACUGAAGUGGAGAGUGUUUGCU